rnacentral:rRNA from 1 species
AGCGAACGCUGGCGGCAGGCCUAACACAUGCAAGUCGAACGAACCUUUCGGGGUUAGUGGCGGACGGGUGAGUAACACGUGGGAACGUGCCUUUAGGUUCGGAAUAACUCAGGGAAACUUGUGCUAAUACCGAAUGUGCCCUUCGGGGGAAAGAUUUAUCGCCUUUAGAGCGGCCCGCGUCUGAUCAGCUAGUUGGUUGAGGUAAUGGCUCACCAAGGCGACGAUCAGUAGCUGGUCUGAGAGGAUGAUCAGCCACAUUGGGACUGAGACACGGCCCAAACUCCUACGGGAGGCAGCAGUGGGGAAUCUUGCGCAAUGGGCGAAAGCCUGACGCAGCCAUGCCGCGUGAAUGAUGAAGGUCUUAGGAUUGUAAAAUUCUUUCACCGGGGACGAUAAUGACGGUACCCGGAGAAGAAGCCCCGGCUAACUUCGUG